CACGUAGGGGCGAGCGUUGUCCGGAAUCAUUGGGCGUAAAGAGCUCGUAGGCGGCUCAGUAAGUCGGGUGUGAAACCCCCAGGCUCAACCUGGGGACGCCACUCGAUACUGCUGUGGCUAGAGUCCAGUAGAGGAGUGUGGAAUUCCCGGUGUAGCGGUGAAAUGCGUAGAUAUCGGAAGGAACACCAGUGGCGAAGGCGACUACCUGGCCUGUUCUUGACGCUGAGGCGCGAAAGCUAGGGAGC
rnacentral:rRNA from 1 species